rnacentral:rRNA from 1 species
AUUGAACGCUGGCGGCAGGCCUAACACAUGCAAGUCGAACGAGUGGCGGACGGGUGAGUAAUGUCUGGGAAACUGCCCGAUGGAGGGGGAUAACUACUGGAAACGGUAGCUAAUACCGCAUACCAUCGGAUGUGCCCAGAUGGGAUUAGCUUGUAGGUGAGGUAACGGGUCACCUAGGCGACGAUCCCUAGCUGGUCUGCGAGGAUGAACAGGCACACUGGGACUGAGACACGGUCCAGAGUCCAGAGGAAAGCAGCAGUGGGGAAUAUGGAACAGUAGGCGCAAGACUGAUGCAGCCAGAGCGAGUAUAUGAAGAAAGCAUUCAGGUGGGAAAGUACUUUCAGCAGGGAGGCGUUACCUGCAGGAGAAGCACCGGCUAACUCCGUGCCAGCAGCCGCGGUAAAAC